AUUGAACGCUGGCGGCAGGCUUAACACAUGCAAGUCGAGCGGAGCGAGGGUGCUUGCACCUUAGCUUAGCGGCGGACGGGUGAGUAAUGCUUAGGAAUCUGCCUAUUAGUGGGGGACAACAUUCCGAAAGGAAUGCUAAUACCGCAUACGCCCUACGGGGGAAAGCAGGGGAUCUUCGGACCUUGCGCUAAUAGAUGAGCCUAAGUCGGAUUAGCUAGUUGGUGGGGUAAAGGCCUACCAAGGCGACGAUCUGUAGCGGGUCUGAGAGGAUGAUCCGCCACACUGGGACUGAGACACGGCCCAGACUCCUACGGGAGGCAGCAGUGGGGAAUUUUGGACAAUGGGGGCAACCCUGAUCCAGCCAUGCCGCGUGCGGGAAGAAGGCCUUCGGGUUGUAAACCGCUUUUAGCCGGGACGAAAAGGCCGGGGCUAACACCCCUGGCUGUUGACGGUACCGGCGGAAUAAGCACCGGCUAACUACGUGCCAGCAGCCGCAGUAAUAC
rnacentral:rRNA from 1 species